rnacentral:rRNA from 1 species
AAUGGGGGCAACCCUGAUCCAGCAAUGCCGCGUGUGUGAUGAAGGCCCUAGGGUUGUAAAGCACUUUCACUGGUGAAGAUGAUGACGGUAACCAGAGAAGAAGCCCCGGCUAACUUCGUGCCAGCAGCCGCGGUAAUACGAAGGGGGCGAGCGUUGUUCGGAAUUACUGGGCGUAAAGGGCGCGUAGGCGGCUCUUUAAGUUAGGCGUGAAAGCCCCGGGCUCAACCUGGGAACUGCGCUUAAGACUGAAGAGCUAGAAAACGGAAGAGGGUAGUGGAAUUCCCAGUGUAGAGGUGAAAUUCGUAGAUAUUGGGAAGAACACCAGUGGCGAAAGCGGCUACCUGGUCCGGAUUUGACGCUGAGGCGCGAAAGCGUGGGGAGCAAACAGGAUU